UACGUAGGGGGCAAGCGUUGUCCGGAAUCAUUGGGCGUAAAGAGCGUGUAGGCGGCCAGGUAGGUCUGCUGUGAAAACUCGAGGCUUAACCUCGAGAUGUCAUCGGAAACCAUCUGGCUAGAGUCCGGAAGAGGAGAGUGGAAUUCCUGGUGUAGCGGUGAAAUGCGCAGAUAUCAGGAAGAACACCAAUGGCGAAAGCAGCUCUCUGGGACGGUACUGACGCUGAGACGCGAAAGCGUGGGGAGCGAACAGG
rnacentral:rRNA from 1 species